UUAGAGGAAGUAAAAGUCGUAACAAGGUUUCCGUAGGUGAACCUGCGGAAGGAUCAUUAUUGAAAUAAACCUGAUGAGUUGUUGCUGGUUCUCUAGGGAGCAAGUGCACACUUGUCAUCUUUGUAUCUUCACCUGUGCACAUUUUGUAGACCUCGGGUAUCUCUCUGAUUGCUUAGCAACUCAGGAUUGGGGAUUGACUUUUUGUCUCUUCUUACAUUUCCAGGUCUAUGUUCCUUCAUAUACCCUAAUGUAUGUUAAUAGAAUGUAAUUAAUGGGCCUUUGUGCCUAUAAAUUUAUACAACUUUCAGCAACGGAUCUCUUGGCUCUCGCAUCGAUGAAGAACGCAGCGAAAUGCGAUAAGUAAUGUGAAUUGCAGAAUUCAGUGAAUCAUCGAAUCUUUGAACGCACCUUGCGCUCCUUGGUAUUCCGAGGAGCAUGCCUGUUUGAGUGUCAUUAAUAUAUCAACCUCUUUGGUUGGAUGUGGGUUUGCAGGCCUCUUUGAGGUCAGCUCCCCUUAAAUUUAUUAGCUGACAACAUUUUGCCAAAUGUUCAUUAGUGUGAUAAUUAUCUACGCUAUUGAUGUGAAGCAGAUUCAGCUUCUAACAGUCCAUUGACUUGGACAAAUUUCUAUUUAUUAAUGUGACCUCAAAUCAGGUAGGACUACCCGCUGAACUUAAGCAUAUCA
rnacentral:rRNA from 1 species